UUACUGAAAGGGUCACUGGAGCCAAUAUACAGGAUCCCAAAGUCCAGAAAGAGGAAACAUGAGGUUGUGUUUCCCAAAGAUGACAGCUGUUUCAUAUUGGAGUUGUCAGCAUGUCUGCUCUCUGAGAUCCUCGGGGAAGUGGUACUCCUGGAAGGAGAUCAAGCUUACAUGACACUGGGGCUGGUCUGCACCACCUU